rnacentral:rRNA from 1 species
AUUGAACGCUGGCGGCAGGCCUAACACAUGCAAGUCGAACGAGUGGCGGACGGGUGAGUACUGUCUGGGAAACUGCCUGAUGGAGGGGGAUAACUACUGUAAACGGUAGCUAAUACCGCAUACCAUCAUCUGUGCCCAGAUGGGAUUAGCUUGUUGGUGGGGUAACGGCUCACCAAGGCGACGAUCCCUAGCUGGUCUGAGAGGAUGACAAGCCAAACUGGAACGGAGACACGGUCCAGACUCCGACGGGAGGCAGCAGUGGGGAAUAUUGCACAAUGGGCGAAAGCCUGAUGCAGCCAUGCCGCGUGUAUGAAGAAGGCCUUCGGGUGGUAAAGUACUUUCAGCGGGGAGGCGGUACCCGAAGAAGAAGCACCGGCUAACUCCGUGCCAGCAGCCGCGGUAAUUC